rnacentral:rRNA from 1 species
AUUGAACGCUGGCGGCAUGCUUUACACAUGCAAGUCGGACGGCAGCACAGAGACGCUUGCUUCCUGGGUGGCGAGUGGCGCACGGGUGAGUCAUAUAUCGGAACGUCCUGAGUAAUGGGGGUUAACUAAUCGAAAGAUUAGCUAAUACCGAUUAUUUUCUGAGGCGCAAGGCUCAGGACUUUAGGGCCUUUCGUUUUUCACGCGGCCGUUGUUUGAUUAGCUAGUUGGUGGGGUAAAGGCUUACCAAGGCGACGAUCAGUAGCGGGUCCGAGAGGGUGAUCGGCCACACUGGGACUGAGACACGGCCCAGACUCCUACGGGAGGCAGCAGUGGGGAAUUUUGGACAAUGGGCGAAAGCCUGACCCAGCAACGCCGCGUGUGUGAAGAAGGCCUUCGGAUUGUAAAAGUCUGUUAUCAGGGAAGAAAAAGCUGUUGCUAAUACCGACAGCUGAUGACGGUACCUGAAGAGUAAGCACCGGCUAACUACGUG